GACAGAGGGUGCAAACGUUGUUCGGAAUUACUGGGCGUAAAGCGUGUGUAGGCGGCUAUGUAAGUCGGAUGUGAAAGCCCCGGGCUCAACCCGGGAAGUGCACUCGAUACUGCGUAGCUAGAGUAUCGGAGAGGUUGGUGGAAUUCUCGGUGUAGAGGUGAAAUUCAUAGAUAUCGAGAGGAACACCAGUGGCGAAGGCGGCUCACUGGCCCGAUACUGACGCUGAGGCACGAAAGCGUGGGGAGCAAACAGG
rnacentral:rRNA from 1 species